AAUUGCUGAAGUUGGCUUUAAAUUCUUGGCCUUGUUACAAAUAGCUACUUAGGCUAGUUGGACCCUGCCUAACGGUUGCGUUGCACAUUAUAAUGCCCAACAUGGGCCGGGAAGUAAGAAGGCGUUAUCACCAACAUGUGUUUUUCAACAAGGCUCGCAGUCACCUGUGGCACAGGCAGGUUAACUGCAGGUCACCGCUAAAAAUAUGUGGACGUAUCCAGUUCAGGGGCUCUGACACCAAGGCAAGGCAUUUACACGUGAAUGAGUGAAAGACUAAACUAAUGUCAAUGAUUUAUGAAUUUUAUUACCACGGAGGCUGGAUGCUCGUCAUUUGCAGCGCUUUCAUAUCCACCUGUCUAUCUAUAUCCUGAGGGAAGAAAUUGAGAGGUGGAUUCAAGUGCAGUUAUCAACUAGGAAGCGAAUACAGCGUUUUUGGAGCUAAGUCAUUUCAUCAGCUGCACAUUUCAACACGUGCAAGACCUGCCACACUCUGAGGAAGGUUCAGACAGCCUAUCACUCUCUCCUAGCAACUCUAAGUGAGAAUUUGUGGUUUCUUCAAGUCACAGCCUGUUCUACAGAGUUGGCCAAUUUAAUCGCAAACCUCUGGUUCCGGUUAUGCAUUUUGGACUGAGCUAUGAAUUCCAUCAAAAUCUAUUAGAGGGCUACCCAGCCAUUAAUAAA